rnacentral:tRNA from 1 species
UAUUUUUCUAAUAUAAUUAGUAUAAUUGACUUCCAAUCAAUAGGUCUGGUCCUUCCAGGAAAAAUAA